CCAAACCCUAUACCUGCGCCUCCUAUACUUGCGCCUCCAUCAAAUAAAUCUGCACCUCCUCCCUUCCUUGGUCCUGCAGCCGCUGCCGGACGAUCCACAGCCACCGCCGCCACCGCCGGUCGGUUCAUGGCCGGUGCCGCCGACUCCACGGUCAGCGGCGACUGAUCUCCAGCCGCCGACAUCUCCCUCGCGCCCCACGGUCCAGCCGCUGCCAAUCGGUCGACAGCCAUGGCCGCCGCUCUUGCGGCCCACGCCGGCCGGUUCUCGGCCACCGCCGAUCCGGUCGUUGUUGCUCCGAACAUCUCCGAAUUUCCUCCACUUCCGUUCUGCCCAACCGGAGAUGUCCGAUUUGUGGCCGCCUCCGCUGCUCCCGUAGCCACCGCCGCUGCUCCGGUAGGCCUUUGAUAGUUAGCCAUGCCGUAGUAAUGAUUCGGCGGCGGCAGCGAAGAUUGGGCGGCGGCGACGACCGAGACGUCUGGGUUCUUUCCUCCGUCUUCUUCGCUUUUAUCGGCGGUGAUUUGCUGCAACCGCGCUUCUGGCCGUGUUGCAGGGCGGAAUGUGGUGGUAAGUUCGGUCCCGGUCUCUUCCGAUGAUGAAAUGUUGGUGUCGAAGCGGUUGGUUGCCGACUGCAAGAUCUGUAGUCGAGCGGCCUCCCUUCUCAUUUUUGAGAACGCCGACUCGACUGAGGGAACGGGAACUUUCUUGAGAAUGUCCCGACAAAGUUUAUCAUAUCUGCCAUCUAAUCCAGGGAGGAACUGAAAUAAUCGGCAAUUUCCGAUUAAUUUUCGGAAAUGAAGAACAGGGGCUGCCUUGAUUUGGUGAAUUGGCUAGGAACGGUUUUGGUUUUGGACUAUGAACGAUGAUGAUUCGUUUCUGAGUUCCUAGGGUUGAACCUGCUCUGAUACCAUGUUGAAACAUGGUAUCAUCAUAAUGUAGAGAAAAAUAAAGAGAAGCCAAAGAUUGUUAUUGUAUUUCUUUGAUAUUGCUUGAUAUUUCCGUAUUACAAUGAUACUCAAUUUAUAGGUUUAAGAAUGAUCAAAGUCAUGCAAAUCCCUAUAAUUAAGGUACUAAAGUCCUACAAUAUAUUUCUUUUGACU